ACAUGGUCAACAAAGUGGAUUAAUAGUAGUACAAAUUGAUAAAACAAAAAAAAAAUACUGUAUUUGGAAUUUAGUAACACAACAUUUUCUAAAAUACUACAAGCAACAUGCAAAAUGAUGAACACAAAUAAAAACCUAUAAGAAAUUUUGUAAUGAAAGAUAGCUAUUUUAUCAUUGUUAUUUGAACAGCUAAAAUGAAAUAUUUUCUAAGAGAAAAUGAAGUAUUUUCUUUGUUAAUGGAUAGUAAAAAAUUUACAUUAAUUUGUUGACAUUUUUUCAUGUUACUCUC
rnacentral:lncRNA from 1 species